rnacentral:misc_RNA from 1 species
GGACAAGCGUAUAACAGGGUAGUUUCAAAUUCAUUCCUCAAGUCCCUGAUCUUGAGACAGAUCUGGCCAAAAUUUUAUUUCCAGAAGGCCACGAUGACAUGAAACUUCUGGCAAGCUUAGAAGCAAAGCAUGAGAUAAUUUAACCUUUAAUUUGCAAUCCCGAAAUCAUCACAGCUAAAAUUGAUAUACAGGCAAACAGAAUCCCUAAUCUAACUGCACUCUCUGAGAUUUCAACACAUAUAUCUCUCAUAGCAAGCUCUUGAACACAGAUUCUUGCAGCAGUAUCUAUAAUCUCUGCUGCAAUGUACCUACACUUGUCUAACCCAACACGAGUUACAUAAUUUGUGUAGAAUCAAGAAUAUGAAUGCAAAAAGUGACCCACAUUUCUUCCCAGGGCGAAACAGCACAACAAAUGAGAAACAUUUUCCCACAUAUUUUAAACAUUUUAACAGAGCUCAUUUUCACUGUCUCUGCAAACACAACUCUCUAAAAAUUUGAUUUUGCAGAAGAGUUCCCUGGAUUCUGGCUAACCUGCAUGAUUGUUUGGUAAAAGUCCUGUAUGUUGAUGAUCUUUCCCAAGGGACAAUCCCAAAAUCAUCAUUGAACUCUUCCAUUCCUUCGACAAACAAUUGCCAGACCAAUGCACCUGCACCAGCUCGUUUUCUCUUUGCGGAUUUAUAGAUAAUGUCUAAAACAGUUUUGUAAAACUGCUCACGUUGAGAAUGCUGGAAGUCAUUGGUCAGAUUAGAGAAUCCAUAUUCAGUGAAAAAGACCGGCUUUCUUAGAUCAUAAUGAGCAUCUUCAAUGUGAGAAAGCAUCCACUUGGACACAAAUGUCAGCUUCUCUUCAAACGUUCGAUCAUGAAUCCUAGUAAAAAAUUAUCAAUUUCAUAUAGGUAAGCAGUAUGAGCAACAAAAGACUCAACACACAUUGAGCAAUAUAAACAAAAUUCAACAGCAUAUACAGCCACAAAGAUGAUUAAAAAAAAUAAAGGAAAUUUGCAACAGCAGAUGAUAAAAACCAAACACCCAAAAAGAAACAUUUGUGGCAAUUUUAAAUUUCGUGUAGGGUUAAGGGAAAUGCAAUGUUACCAAUGAUCAGGGUAUAUAUGAACAGAGGCAAAAUCAAUGUCUGGGACCUUGGAGUUGCGAAUAAAAUCAGUUCCAAAGGUUGACGCCCAAUCUUCUGGGUUCACAGUUAACCUCUUUGGGUUUUUAGGACCAUAAAAUCCUUCCAGGCCCACUGUCAGUAGAUGGUUCUUGUCAAUAGAUUUCACAAAAGCUGACAUUUCUUCCAUCCAGUCCUACAAUUCCAUGUUACGAAGUCAAUGUACGCAAAAAUAUCAAUCAAUUAAUGGGGAGAGGGGAAUAAAGAACCUCUCUCCCUCUUCCUCUUCCUCCCUGUCUUGUCUCUUCUUCUCUCUGCCCUCUAAAUGCACAUACAAGCACAUGCAUGCAUAAACUCUAAAGAAAUUCAUUUCUAACUCAAACUAGUUCAAGCAAGGAUCUCGAAACCUUUGGCUUGCAAAAUUAAUUCAGCAAAGAAGCCAAAAAAAAAGUAGCUUUAUUUUUUUUUCCCUCAAAAUUCCAUAGAAAUUAAUAACAUUUUGUCAAGAAAAUAUGCACAUAACCAAUGAAAGGGAGUUCAAAACACAUUUACUAGUCAUCUAAGCAAACCUUUCCAUGUGAAGUUUGCACACACAAAGAAAAAGUUAGAGCCAAAAUUGCCCACAAUAAUAUCAGUUUUCAAAUAAGAUUAUACAAGUUCUUCAACCUAAUUUAGGUCAGAAUGGUAUAAACUCUCUGGAAAAGUUACUAUUUCAUUAGAAGAUCUAUUGUUAAUCAGAUGGCUCAAGUCCUUCCAUACUUGAUUCUCAGAAGAUUAUAAUAGUGUAAGGAGUUCACAACUUACUUGAAGAGUGUCACCUGAAGAAUCAGACAUGCAACGAGGUUCAUUCAUCAAUUCCCAUCCGAAGAUGAUGGGAUCAUUCCUAUAUUCAAUCCCUGUGAUGGUGUUUUUUCUAGUCAACAAAGUCUGUAACGAGGACUUGCAUUAGAAUUGAUCAGAUGACUUCAAAGCCAAAGAUAUUACAGAAGUUUAGGUUCAUAUAUUUCACAAAUAACUCAAAAUGCUUUACAAAAUGAAUGAGAAGGAAAUUACUUAUCUAAAGGAAUAUUUGUUUACAACUAAUAUCAACCAUAUUGCUCGAAUGGGGGCAUGGACUUGGACUAUGUAUUGAUGCAAAUCUAGAGUCAACAACAAUAAAAACAACUAAACUUUAAUCCCAAACUAGUUAGGUCAGCUGUGGAUUUUUUUUGUUUUUUUUUUGUUCAACUCUAUUUGAAACCAAUCUAGAGUCCAUGUAAGAAAAUUACAGAUAAACUUGUAUAUGAAGAAAGAAGAUCAGGGAAAUAAGUAAUUUUAAUGUCCUGCACAUCUGAUUUUUCCCAAGCACAAACAGCCCAUACCACAUGAGUUAGAAACUAAAAUCCUGUAUCCGUUUCGUAAUCAUCAGGAAUUCAAAAUGCCAACGAUCAUGAUUAAAUAUGAAAAUUCAAUAAAAAAAAAUCCACCUUGGAGAACACGAGGGAAAGGAAAGCAAAAUAAUUAAUGAGUAAACAAAUGAACCUAUUAUAAUAAUUUAACCAUGCCUUCUGUGAUUCUCAUACUUUUCUACAAACCAUAACUUUGUCGAAGUCCAUGUUUGAUAGCUCGGGGUCCUUCUCCCUUUUCAGAUUGUAGGGGAGUGCUCUGUGGCAAUAAUACAUUCAUGGUAGACACAGCUUACAGGUACUUGGUGAAUAUGGCUUAUUUCAGCAACAGAGAGAAAUCCAAAGGCUCCCAAUUAUGGCAUCUAGUUUCUUUUAGUUUUGGGGCUUUCUGAAUUUGAAGAGUCUAGUAGUCACAGACUACCUUUAUCUGUGCCUUGUGAUGCAUGAGGACAAAAUUAUGUUUCAUCAAAACUGGAAAGAGAGCCCUUGUCGUUCCAAUGAUAUUUUAGGCAAAAUUUCUAUUAUUGAACAAAAGAACUCCAGUGCAGUCCUAAUUUGGCUUUAUAACUAUUUAUUAACAAAGUAACAUCUAAUAAAUUGCUUACAGAAAGCUAGAUGUCCAUUUACCUUAACAUAGUUCUUGAAAUAUCUUUUGAUGGUUGGAUCAAAGAAGAAAGAAUCAUUCGAAGAGCUCAAACCAAUGCCUUCUUCCCAUGCCCACUUAACAUACUGUGUUUUCCCACCAUAUGGCUUUAAGUUAUUAACUAAACAAAGAAGCAGCCUGAUUCCAUGUUGUCUUGCUUCUGCAAUGACAUAAUCCAAGGCCUUGAAGACCCGCUCAUCGAAUCGACCUGGGGAAACCUGGAGAGCAUUGUAGCCACCAUCAUUGAAGGCCCAUGUUCGACAAACAGUGAGACCCAUCCUAGCACCAGCUUCCAGCAUUGCACUAACCCUGGGUUUCCUAUCAUCCUCCGCAGAAUGGUCCAUCAACCAAUAAGAAUUCCAUCCAUUAAUGUAAAAGGGCCUACCAUCCACCAUAAACUGGGUUCCAUUUCUGGUCACAAAAGCUAACUCUGGUUCUUGAUGAUAAGUAAGCAUCAAGUCACCAAAACACAUGUAAAUGAAUGCCACACAGGAGGCAAAACCGAGAAUUGGGUAAAAUAGCCCAUUUCCAGCCAUCAUUUUUCUUAUAUAUCGUGUAUAGGAUCUGAAAAAUGGUAAAACACCAAAAUUGAACAAAAUGCAAUGAAAUUCUUGGAUAUCCUUAUUGGCUAUAUUUCAAGAUACAACCCCAAAUACAGCCACCCAGACAAAAUUUUAGAAGUAACUUAAAAGCCGAAAUGCAUGAUAUAGGAAAUGUUUAAGGAUACCCAGAUCCCUUCUUGAAAAGGAUACCCCAAAAUGACUUGAAAGCUCAUAAAAUUCAAAUACAAGAGCCCUCAAUGAAGCUCAGACCACAUCAAACUAAAAAGAGAAAGAGGGGUUUGCAUGUUGCCGUCCUGUGCUUAAGAUUUUGGGAUUUAUAGAGGAGAAGUGAAAGACGCAGGCCCCUACUCCCUAGGCAGGAAGAUUCAAAUGCAUAUGAAGACCAAGAAAUAAAGAAAGGACACCUAACAGGUCACCACCAAGAAGACUGAAGAACAGAAGAAUGACGGUAGUGGGGGUGGUUGUAAGGUGGAAUGUUGGCAUCAGCCUGAUAGGUAAACAGAUCUAAAGCAUCUGAUUUCCCUCAGUUUCCUUCAAUUUUAAUAUUAUUCUACAGGACAAGUUUCCAAUCGCAUUCAACGCCCAUGGCCCCAUGUCUGAUUGCGCUAUCUCUCAAUUUUCUGUACCAAAUUUAGUUUGCUAACAAAAAAGAAAUAGAAAAAAAAUGAAAUAAAGAAUGAGAAAAUCUCAGACCUCAUGUGCUCAUGUGUGUUCUUGAUUCGAUUGUACACAAGCAUUUGCAGCUUUUAAAGCUUUUUUUUUAAUUUGAUAUAUGAAGUGCAUAGCAUUCUUAAAUAUAGAGAGAGAUUAUAAUCUAAAGAACUGGUAGAUCUUAGAAGAUGGAAC